AAUAUUUUGACCAAUAAAACAAAGUCAAAAGGGUUGUCGUUUUCAGGUUCUCUGAUAACUGUUUCCCGCUUUCACAGCGAAACCAACGAACAAGCCAGAAAGGCUUUUUCUGUUACGCCCUCAUUUCGUGUUUUCCGAACCCUAGACCUGACUGAAAAUCGCAUUAAGAGUUCAAGACUCUGCUCUUCCCAAAUCAAUACUUGAAAAUCCACCAUUCAUCCUUCUACUACCUGAAUUCUGUACUGCAGGUCCAUUCAUGCCUCGCAUUGAACCGAAUAUUCCGGAUUCAUGUUGUAUCUCGCCUCGGUUUCGGAGCAACAGUUUUCGUCGGAGUCUUCGCUACCAGAGGCUUCCGUCGCGGCUCCUUCACCUCUCCGUCUUGAAAUUGGACGGUUCUUCCUUCGAGGUGCAAGUUGCGAGGAAAGCGUCUGUGGCAAAGCUUAGAGAGGCGGUGGAGAGUGUUUUCUGUGGAAUGUUGAUGAAUAGAGAAGAUGUCAAGAUUUCAUGGCCACAUGUGUGGAGUCAUUUUUGCUUAUGCUAUAAACAUUACAAGCUGAUCGACGAGAAAUCGCGUAUCAAACGCUUUGGAAUCAGGGAUGGUGAUCUGCUGCAUUUUGUGAACCGUAUAGCUUAAUUUUCGCCAAGAAUCAGUGGAUUUGAGAUGGCCCAAAAGAAUGUAUGGAUAGAGGAAUAUAGGCAGGCUGGUUGAAUGGCUUCUGGUAUAAACUUGUCAGAAGUUUUUGGGUGUGAAUUAUUGUGAAGUGGUCAGAUGGUUCUUUUUUUUUUUUUUCAUUUUUUUCUUGAUUUUUUACGUUCCUGAUGCUAAAUUUGAAGCCUUGGUUUAUAUAUAUAUAACAAGAUGAACUACAUUUCGUUUGUGCCACAUAAGACUUCACUUUCCUUUCGUCCAAUCCAAAAAUGAAGUCCAUUAGUUCAGCCUCUAAGGAGAAUCUGAGAGGAUGAAUGCCAUUAUUGCCCGACCAACUUGAUGUUAUGGGGAGUGCAAGCUCUACAGUGUGAAGCUAUGAACUUUGAAGAUUUUCAGCUGAGAUUAUAUGUUUCUGUGGCCUUAAUUUAUGCACUUAGAAAAUUAUUUUGUCUUGUAAGUUGAGACUUGGAAAGAAUUCAUAAAUUUUAAUGCUUUAAUAAUUUCUUUAUUAAAUAAAUCGUUGCCUAAAAAGUUUAGGCUUUUAAACAUGAA